rnacentral:rRNA from 1 species
CCUACGGGUGGCAGCAGUGAGGAAUAUUGGUCAAUGGCCGGAAGGCUGAACCAGCCAAGCCGCGUGAGGGAGGAAGGCGCAGAGCGUCGCAGACCUCUUUUGCCGGGGGACAAAAGGCCGGACUCGUCCGGUCCUGAGGGUACCCGGAGAAAAAGCAUCGGCUAACUCCGUGCCAGCAGCCGCGGUAAUACGGAGGAUGCGAGCGUUAUCCGGAUUCAUUGGGUUUAAAGGGUGCGCAGGCGGGCCUUUAAGCCGGCGGUGAAAUCGCGGGGCUCAACCCCGGCCGGCCGUUGAAACUGGUUUUCUAGAGUUGGAGAGAAGUAUGCGGAAUUCGUGGUGUAGCGGUGAAAUGCAUAGAUAUCACGAAGAACUCCGAUUGCGAAGGCAGCAUACCGGCUCCAUACUGACGCUGAGGCACGAAAGCGUGGGGAUCGAACAGGAUUAGAUACCCCAGUAGUC